AGUAAGGUCAUAACAGUAGAGCUGGUCUUCAUACCACAGUAAGGUCAUAACAGUAGAGCUGGUCUUCAUACCACAGUAAGGUCAUCACAGUAAGGCCAUAACAGUAGAGCUGGUCUUCAUACCACAGUAAGGUCAUAACAGUAGAGCUGGUCUUCAUACCACAGUAAGGUCAUAACAGUAGAGCUGGUCUUCAUACCACAGUAAGGUCAUAACAGUAGAACUGGUCUUCAUAUCACAGUAAGGUCAUAACAGUAAGGUCAUCACAGUAAGGUCAUAACAGUAGAGCUGGUCUUCAUACCACAGUAAGGUCAUAACAGUAAGGUCAUCACAGUAGAGCUGGUCUUCAUACCACAGUAAGGUCAUCACAGUAGAGCUGGUCUUCAUACCACAGUAAGGUCAUCACAGUAGAGCUGGUCUUCAUACCACAGUAAGGUCAUAACAGUAGAGCUGGUCUUCAUACCACAGUAAGGUCAUAACAGUAAGGUCAUAACAGUAGAGCUGGUCUUCAUACCACAGUAAGGUCAUAACAGUAGAGCUGGUCUUCAUAUCACAGUAAGGUCAUCACAGUAAGGUCAUCACAGUAAGGUCAUAACAGUAGAGCUGGUCUUCAUACCACAGUAAGGUCAUAACAGUAGAGCUGGUCUUCAUACCACAGUAAGGUCAUCACAGUAGAGCUGGUCUUCAUACCACAGUAAGGUCAUAACAGUAGAGCUGGUCUUCAUACCACAGUAAGGUCAUAACAGUAGAGCUGGUCUUCAUACCACAGUAAGGUCAUAACAGUAAGGUCAUAACAGUAGAGCUGGUCUUCAUACCACAGUAAGGUCAUAACAGUAGAGCUGGUCUUCAUACCACAGUAAGGUCAUCACAGUAGAGCUGGUCUUCAUACCACAGUAAGGU